AUGUCAGCCUGUGGGCCAGGCUAGAAGGAGUAAUAGCCAGCUCUGGGACUUAGGCUAUAACGUUUCUGAUAAUUUGCUUACGGCCUCACCAUCAGUAUAGAGUGGGUGCACACACAUGUGUGCAAGACUGUGUGCUUGUGUUGACCAUCUACAAUUCACUGUGCACAUACAGAGCCACGGGGAGUAGGACAAGGAAGUGUGUGCACUGGGAUUGUGGGUCACCAUGGGACAGGGGCAUAAAUAUACAUCAAAUGCAUCAUCACCUGCAAUUGAUUUCUUAUGGCUUCUGACUGGGAUUUUGUGAGAGGCCUGUGUUUAUAUCAGAGUGUCAGUGAGGGUAACUUUGGAGGAGACCUAGGAUUUGCCCUUAGCCAGCUCCUUCUAAGACUGAGCUACCACAUCCUUUGGGGGUAAGAAGCCUGGACACCCCUUUCUUUUUCUGCUCUGCCCUUGACCUCAGGCUGGGCCUCUG
rnacentral:lncRNA from 1 species